rnacentral:lncRNA from 1 species
CCCGCCGCGGGGCCCUCAGGUACGCGAUUCACCUCAGAGGCCCGCGGGGCUGCAGCCAGGAUUCUGCCCUGUUUAGGCCGCGGGGACGCCUGGCGUCGAGGCGGCCCUGAGGGGACUCGCUUGUUCCAGGCCGCGAGGAGCUGUGAGGUGGGGAAGAAGCCUCGGGAAGUCCUUCAAUCGCAGAAGGAAGCACCGCUGGCACAGAGCCAUCUGAAAACAGUUGCCCAUUCUGGCCGCUCCGCUGCGGGACUGCGAACAGCUUGGCUCCAGCAUCACCACGUGGGAAGUUGGAAGAAUAGUUCAGGGAGCACCCAAGUACUCAACUCCCAGGUUGACAGGUGAAUGCUUUGUCACUCACCUCUUUCGGUCUCCAUAUGCAUCAGAAGCAACUGCCUUAAUAUUAUUCUGACUUCUAGAUUAAUGAAGAAUUUGGAAGAUAAAGUGAGAAAGUUCCUGCCUUCAGACAAAUGGAGAGAUUGCAACCUAAGAAAAGAUGGUUAAGGAUGUUUCCUUGGACUCUGACCUAGGCAGUGCUUCUAGGAUGAGUUGGAGAGAAUUCAAACUGGGUUCUUGAGGUCUCAACCAAAAGGAGGCAUGGCAUGGAAAGAUGAGCGUGAAGUUGCUCAAAGAGAUUGAAACCCAUUGGGAAAAUGCUGUGACCCAGUAUGCUGUGCAAUGGUACCACAAUUAUAGAGACCAGAACAAGUUAUUUAGAGAUAAUACCUGAAUCUAUUAUGUCAUCUUUAUGCUGCUUUCUUAAACACAUUUCCCUUCUAUAUGAAAAAAUUGUGAGAAUAUAAAGUUCAUAUGAAGUGAAAAAACUGGUUGUCUUUUGAAAUAAAAAGCCAUUUUUAGUAGUCA